rnacentral:misc_RNA from 1 species
CCUUGGUGAGUCUAUCCGGAAGAUACAAGAGUCUGUGACUACAUCUGGAGGGGGGAGACAGGGGCGCCUUAUAGGCGCCAUUAUUGGCGGUGUGGCUCUUGGGGUUGCAACUGCCGCACAAAUAACAGCGGCCGCAGCUCUGAUACAAGCCAAACAAAAUGCUGCCAACAUCCUCCGACUUAAAGAGAGCAUUGCCGCAACCAAUGAGGCUGUGCAUGAGGUCACUGACGGAUUAUCCCAACUAGCAGUGGCAGUCGAGCCUGUACAAUCUUGCGCUCAAUGUCACUAUUAAUGUGGAGGUAGACCCGAGGAGUCCUUUGGUUAAAUCUCUGUCUAAGUCUGACAGCGGAUACUAUGCUAACCUCUUCUUGCAUAUUGGACUUAUGACCACCGUAGAUAGGAAGGGGAAGAAAGUGACAUUUGACAAGCUGGAAAAGAAAAUAAGGAGCCUUGAUCUAUCUGUCGGGCUCAGUGAUGUGCUCGGAC